rnacentral:rRNA from 1 species
GUAGUCUCGCACAGAUGCAUAUUAAUAAGCGGAGGAAAAGAAACUAACAAGGGUUCCCCUAGUAACGGCGAGUGAAGCGGGAAGAGCUCAAAUUUGAAAUCUUAAAGGGUUUCCCUUUACGAAUUGUAGUUUAAAGAAGUGUUUUCUGUUGAGGUUUUGGUAAAAGUUCUUUGGAAUAGGGCAUCAUAGAGGGUGAGAAUCCCGUAUUUGACCUUUACUUUCAACUUUGUGUUACACUUUCAAAGAGUCGGAUUGUUUGGGAAUGCAGUCCAAAAUGGGUGGUAAAUUUCAUCUAAAGCUAAAUAUUGGCGAGAGACCGAUAGCGAACAAGUACCGUGAGGGAAAGAUGAAAAGAACUUUGAAAAGAGAGUUAAACAGUACGUGAAAUUGUCAAAAGGGAAGCGUUUGACACCAGUGUUGUUUUUCUGAAAAUCAAUUAAAGAACUGUUUAUGCUAAGCUGUUUAGACUUUAUCAGCUAACUGUUUAGUUUUGAGCUUUUCUUUAAUGCACUUUUCAGUUAACAAGUCAACAUCAAUUUCUUUUGCUGUAAAAAAGCUUGUGGAAGGUGGCUUGAGAUUCGUCUUAAGUGUUUAUAGCCUCUUGCCUAUGCAGUCGGAGAGAUUGAGGUCUGCAGCGUAGAUCCUUCGGGGCUAAAUGCAUUUGUGCUAAGUUAUAGCAUUUUAUAGACAACUUGUUGACUAUGAUUUGUCUUGUAGCUUACUCGCUUAUGUUAUUUUACCUACGCUUAGGAUGUUGAGUAGCGACAUACGCAC